AUUGAACGCUGGCGGCAGGCUUAACACAUGCAAGUCGAGCGGAGAUGAGGUGCUUGCACCUUAUCUUAGCGGCGGACGGGUGAGUAAUGCUUAGGAAUCUGCCUAUUAGUGGGGGACAACAUUCCGAAAGGAAUGCUAAUACCGCAUACGCCCUACGGGGGAAAGCAGGGGAUCUUCGGACCUUGCGCUAAUAGAUGAGCCUAAGUCGGAUUAGCUAGUUGGUGGGGUAAAGGCCUACCAAGGCGACGAUCUGUAGCGGGGCUGAGAGGAUGAUCCGCCACACUGGGACUGAGACACGGGCCAGAAUCCGACGGGAGGCAGCAGUGGGGAAUAUUGGACAAUGGGCGGAAGCCUGAUCCAGCCAUGCCGCGUGUGUGAAGAAGGCCUUUUGGUUGUAAAGCACUUUAAGCGAGGAGGAGGCUACCUGGAUUAAUACUCUAGGAUAGUGGACGUUACUCGCAGAAUAAGCACCGGCUAACUCUGUGCCAGCCGCCGCCGUAACAC
rnacentral:rRNA from 1 species